GGAGCCCAGGCUCAAGUGGCGUGCUGCCUGCUUCAAUACGCUGGCAGACGGCCGUGCGGUGGCGAUCCGCUCCGCCCCAAGGCUCUGUGACGUGAUGCGAGAGCCCCGGCUCCAGGCGGCCAUUGUUUCUAACCAGCCGUGCUGCAUUCUGGGUGAUGUAGUCCAGCCUUGGCCGUGCUCUCACCCUCCACCCCCCCCCCCCCCCAACAGACGCCGGCGGUUCAAGGACUACAAGCGCCAAAGAUGGCCGAGCGGGCUUUUGGGGAGGCCCGGGGCGGGGCGGGGCGGCAGCUGGAAGUGCCAAACCAGAUCUCAGGCAGCUGCUGCUGGGUUUCUUGCUGAAGGGGAACGAGAGACUCACAAGAAGUCUGAUUGCUUUUAGGAAGGCUGGAAAAAGGGUUACGUUUGCUCCAAUAGAAACAGGAAGUGUGGGAAAUUCUCAGCACAUCAGGCGAUACCUACGCAGAGAGAAACAGAACUCAGUGACCCUUUAUCAGAACUAAUGCAGAUGCUGCCAGACCUUCUGUUUUUGUCCCCAAAGGCUUUUUGCCACUUAAGACAGUAAGUGCAUGGGAAAACCACAGCCUCCAAAUUCUCCUCUUAACUCACGAUCCUGACUAAGAAAUAUGUUGCCGAUCCUUCAAAUGCAUUCAAUGGCAUGAAAUUAAACUCACCACGAAAGUUAGGGGUUGUCCAUUUAAGGCUAAGUAUCUUUUAAAAGGCACAAUAAGACUUUGCUACUGCUAAACAACCUCUGUGACAUUAAAAAAUAACUAAACAUGGAGCUUCAACUUUUAAUUGUUGGAAUUUUAAAAGUUUCAUAGUUUUUUUUUAAACACUCUUAAUCUGAUCUUUCUUUAUUCUGCUUUCUGUUCCUGAUAUUACAAUGAAUUUAGUAUUCUAACUCACACUUGGUUCAAUCAGACUGCUGUUCAUUAACAAUUCUUCAACCUAAUUAAGAUAUAAGUUGCAUGCCCUGUUUACACAAGUCCCAGAUGCCCAUUAAAGGACACCACACCAUUUUGAUAUCCCACUUACGGAAACUUGCUCAUAGAAAUUAAGUGCACAAGAGCAAACAUCACACCUGUAGUAAAUUCUGACUCACUCUUAUCUGCUUUGAGAUCUGACAGUUCAACACAUGUUACUGCACUCAAGCAUCAGCCUAGAUGUGCUCAGGUCUCAGGAAUGGGACUUGAUCAUAUAACGAUCUAAGAAACAAGAGUGCUGCUGCUGAGCCAAAACUGACACCUAAUCAAAUACACACUUGAACACAGCAUGUGCCUAUUUCAUAAUUUUAAAAAUAUUUAUAUUAAAAACAUGCCUGCCGACACGUAAACAUCUCCAGAUUCAGCUACACGAACUGCAUAUUUUACAAUGUCUUGUUCAGACAAGUGGUGUGGAAGCCAGUUUCCCCAGAACUAGCUGGCAGUACUCCAGGACGCAAUAAAGAACAGUAUGAACUGUG